rnacentral:rRNA from 1 species
CCUACGGGAGGCAGCAGUGAGGAAUAUUGGUCAAUGGGCGGAAGCCUGAACCAGCCAAGUAGCGUGCAGGAUGACGGCCCUACGGGUUGUAAACUGCUUUUAUACGGGAAUAACGCGCCUUACGUGUAGGGCUUUGCAUGUACCGUGUGAAUAAGGACCGGCUAAUUCCGUGCCAGCAGCCGCGGUAAUACGGAAGGUCCGGGCGUUAUCCGGAUUUAUUGGGGUUAAAGGGAGCGUAGGCCGCAUGUCAAGCGUGCUGUGAAAUGUCCGGGCUCAACCCGGGCCUGGCAGGGCGAACUGGCGGGCUUGAGUCGGCGGAAAGAAGGCGGAAUGGGUGGUGUAGCGGUGAAAUGCUUAGAUAUGACGAAGAACCCCGAUUGCGAGGAAGCUUGCUGCAGCGGAACUGACGCUGAUGCUCGAAAGCGCGGGUAUCGAACAGGAUUAGAGACCCUUGUAGUC